GCUUAUCUGUCACAUCCCAAACUACCCCCUAGACGUGACUGGUACCCAGCUAACACUACCUGCCAGGCGAACCUCUUUCUCUAACGUUUAACCAUUUACACAAACACUGAGAAAAAAGUACAGGCCUAAAGUAUUAUUAAUAAUUAAAGAGAUAAUGAUUAUCACUCAAUACUUUAGUCAAUUGAUAGAAAAACCAACAAUCACUCAAAUAAUAAAACUCUAGCUCAAAUCCCACACUAAGACCAUGGAGCAUCUAACAGAGUAAUAUGUGUUUUAUUGACGGGUAUGCAAACCGACAAAAAAAGAAGAAGUAACUAACACGAACUAAGCAAGUCUGAAACGAAAGCCUCCACGAACAAUGUGGUGGCUCACCUCAGCAAUAAGAUCCACUCGAACAAACUCGUCGGCCACUAGCCCUAUCUCCCGCAACGGUAUCUGCAUAGAGAUGCAGGUAAGGAGUGAGUUAUACGUAAAUAUAACCCAGUAAGAUCCUCGACUCGCCACUUUAAAUACCUCUGGAACAAGUGUUAGAAAAUACAAACACACUACAACCCGAAUGAUAUAGUAAAUAUGAUAAUUAUAUAAUAACUUAAUAUAUGUGUAUCAACAGAAUUAUUAAGAAUUAACCAACAAGGAUACCCACUAAGGACUUAUCAUAAUUGCAGUGAAAGAAAUUUACCAACACACCAGGAGUCCACGACAACACCACAAUGCCUCAAAUAUGUAAUAGAGCAUACACAAUGCUCGGGUGAUGUACAAAGGCAUACACAAUGCCCCAACAUCAUGGCGCACAGCCGUAUCAAACUCAACAUCAUGGCGCACACCCGUAUCAAACUCAACAUCAUGGAGCACAACCCUAUCAAACUCAAUAUCAUGGCGCACAGCCGUUUAAACUCAACAUCAUGGCGCACAGUCGUAUCAAACUCAACAUCAUGGCGCACAGUCAUCUCAACAUCAUGGCGCACAGCCGUAUCAAACUCAACAUCAUGGCGCACAGCUGUAUCAAACUCAACAUCAUAGCGCACAACUGUAUCAAACUCAAUAUCAUGGAGCACAACCGUAUUAAACUCAACAUCAUGGCGCACAGCCGUAUCAAACUAAAUAUCAUGGCGCACAACCAUAUCAAACUCAACAUCAUGGCACACAGCGUAUCAAACUCGAUGUUAUGGCGCACAGCCGUAUCAAACUAUAAAACUCAACCUCAUGGCGCACAGCCGUAUAACACUAUCAAACAACUUAUAAAAUAAUUUUUUAUUUCUUUCAUAAAAUAAUAUGUUUGCGGCUAGUCUAAGACCAUCGACUCUACCAAGCGCACGCUUGUCCCAACACAUGGACCAGGCAGAGAAAACACACUUCCAAAAUGGGUCUUAGAAAAGUAAGUAUCAAAGCUUAAAGUCUCACUUACCUCGCUAACGAGAAGUUCUCCAACCUUGCAAUGUCUAAGACACCAACCAAACGGCCUCCAAUGGCCUCAAUCUAUCCAAAAUAUUGAAUAAUAUGUCCUAAAUAGUCUAGAUGAAUAAUUUUUCAUAAUCUUACGACAGAGUCAAAAUCAAAGCCAACCCCCAAUCCAACUAAUAAAUAAUUGUACACAAACAUAUGCUGACAGUAGUAUUUCGAAAGUGCCGAAACCGUAGUAGCUUCAGAAAACUAUACCAUAACUUAUACUACCAUAUGAUUUUUUCACUUUCUCAUUACCCUCAUCAUUACAUCAUGAUUGAAAGUUAUACUCUAUGUACUAAAUGAUAAAAAAGUCCACAACUGUAGCUUUUUUAAAUAUGUUCAAUUUCACAAGCAGUACAUUUUUUUUAUAGUUUCCAUAUCUCACAUCUAUCCUUUACAAGCUAAUAACCAUUACAUCAUUAUUAUUAUUUUCCAACAACAUCAUACGGUCAUCAUUACACAUCUUUCUCUCAAAAAUACAUAUGUUUCUAGUUGUGUCCAUAUUUUAACUUUGCCGCUGUGAUUUCACAAUUUACAGAAUAUCUAAGCACAUGCUAUGUCGAAAUCUAGUCAUUUACUCUAUGAUAUUGGACGAAUCUCGAAAUACCUGAAGCUCACACGAUGAUAGUUUUUAUCGCCGCCGCCAACGAAUCCUCAGAAGAUCAGCUUGCUUCUCUUUUUCUUUUUUUUCAUCAAGAGCAAGGAACUAAUUACCCAAAUUUUCUACUCUUUAGGUCACUAAAAAUGUGGCAGCCAUAAGAUAAUGGGCUUAGCCCACUCCGAUUUAUUUAAUAAAUAACCAAAGUCAACUAUAUAAGUGUAGUUUAAAAUUUUUAACCACUAACCACUUAUUUAGUAUCAUAUCUCAUAUAGGAACAAAAUUUCC
rnacentral:lncRNA from 1 species